rnacentral:piRNA from 1 species
UUGUCCUCUGCACCCUGGGCCUGUG